rfam:Myxococcales bacterium 68-20 scnpilot_expt_750_bf_scaffold_40, whole genome shotgun sequence.
CGGGGCGUAGCGCAGCCUGGUUAGCGCACUAGACUGGGGGUCUAGGGGUCGGAGGUUCGAAUCCUCUCGCCCCGA